rnacentral:rRNA from 1 species
AGAGUUUGAUCAUGGCUCAGGAUGAACGCUAGCUACAGGCUUAACACAUGCAAGUCGAGGGGAAACGAUAUUGGAAGCUUGCUUCCGAUAGGCGUCGACCGGCGCACGGGUGAGUAACGCGUAUCCAACCUGCCCACCACUUGGGGAUAACCUUGCGAAAGUAAGACUAAUACCCAAUGAUAUCUCUAGAAGACAUCUGAAAGAGAUUAAAGAUUUAUCGGUGAUGGAUGGGGAUGCGUCUGAUUAGCUUGUUGGCGGGGUAACGGCCCACCAAGGCAACGAUCAGUAGGGGUUCUGAGAGGAAGGUCCCCCACAUUGGAACUGAGACACGGUCCAAACUCCUACGGGAGGCAGCAGUGAGGAAUAUUGGUCAAUGGACGAGAGUCUGAACCAGCCAAGUAGCGUGCAGGAAGACGGCCCUAUGGGUUGUAAACUGCUUUUAUAAGGGAAUAAAGUGAGAGUCGUGACUCUUUUUGCAUGUACCUUAUGAAUAAGGACCGGCUAAUUCCGUGCCAGCAGCCGCGGUAAUACGGAAGGUCCGGGCGUUAUCCGGAUUUAUUGGGUUUAAAGGGAGCGUAGGCCGGAGAUUAGGCGUGUUGUGAAAUGUAGACGCUCAACGUCUGCACUGCAGCGCGAACUGGUUUCCUUGAGUACGCACAAAGUGGGCGGAAUUCGUGGUGUAGCGGUGAAAUGCUUAGAUAUCACGAAGAACUCCGAUUACGAAGGCAGCUCACUGGAGCGCAACUGACGCUGAAGCUCGAAAGUGCGGGUAUCGAACAGGAUUAGAUACCCUGGUAGUCCGCACGGUAAACGAUGGAUGCCCGCUGUUGGUCUGAAUAGGUCAGCGGCCAAGCGAAAGCAUUAAGCAUCCCACCUGGGGAGUACGCCGGCAACGGUGAAACUCAAAGGAAUUGACGGGGGCCCGCACAAGCGGAGGAACAUGUGGUUUAAUUCGAAGCAACGCGAAGAACCUUACCAGGUCUUGACAUCCUGCUAACGAAGUAGAGAUACAUCAGGUGCCCUUCGGGGAAAGCAGAGACAGGUGGUGCAUGGUUGUCGUCAGCUCGUGUCGUGAGAUGUUGGGUUAAGUCCCGCAACGAGCGCAACCCCUAUUGUUAGUUGCUACGCAAGAGCACUCUAGCGAGACUGCCGUUGACAAAGCGGAGGAAGGUGGGGACGACGUCAAAUCAUCAUGCCCCUUAUGACCUGGGCUACACACGUAAUACAAUGGCGGAGAACAAAGGGAUGCAAAGCCGCGAGGCAGAGCGAACCCCAAAAAGCCGUCCCAGUUCGGAUCGCAGGCUGCAACCCGCCUGCGUGAAGUCGGAAUCGCUAGUAAUCGUGGGUCAGCAUACCACGGUGAAUGCGUUCCCGGGCCUUGUACACACCGCCCGUCACACCAUGAGAGUCGGGAACACCCGAAGUCCGUAGCCUAACCUUUUAGGAGGGCGCGGCCGAAGGUGGGUUCGAUAAUUGGGGUGAAGUCGUAACAAGGUA